GACGAACGCUGGCGGCGUGCUUAACACAUGCAAGUCGAACGGAAAGGCCCUGCUCUUGUGGGGUGCUCGAUUGGCGAACGGGGGAGUAACACGUGAGUAACCUGCCCUUGACUUAGGGAUAACUUCUCGAAACUGGGGCUAUUACCGGAUAUGAGCUCCUGCUGCAUGGGGGGGGUUGGAAAGUGUCGGCGGUUUGGGAUGGACUCGCGGCUUAUCAGCUUGUUUGGGGGGUAGUGGCUUACCAAGGCUUUGACGGGUAGCCCGCCUGAGAGGGUGGCCGGCGACCUUGGGCCUGAGGGAGGGACCAGACUCCUACGGGACGCAGUGGUCGGAAAUCUUGCACAAUGGGCGCAAGCCUGAUGCAAAGACGCCGCGUGCGUGAUGCCGGCCUUCGGGUUGUAAACAGAUUUCGAAUGUAACGAAGCGUGAGUGACGGUACUGGGUCAAGAAGCCCCGGCUAACUACGUG
rnacentral:rRNA from 1 species